rnacentral:rRNA from 1 species
UACGGGGGGGGCAAGCGUUGUUCGGAAUUACUGGGCGUAAAGGGCUCGUAGGUGGCCAACUAAGUCAGACGUGAAAUCCCUCGGCUUAACCGGGGAACUGCGUCUGAUACUGGAUGGCUUGAGUUCGGGAGAGGGAUGCGGAAUUCCAGGUGUAGCGGUGAAAUGCGUAGAUAUCAGGAGGAACACCGAUGGCGAAGGCAGCUCGCUGGGACGGUACUGACGCUGAGGCGCGAAAGCGUGGGGAGCAAACAGG